rnacentral:rRNA from 1 species
GAUGAACGCUAGCUACAGGCUUAACACAUGCAAGUCGAGGGGAAACGAUAUUGGAAGCUUGCUUCUGAUAGGCGUCGACCGGCGCACGGGUGAGUAACGCGUAUCCAACCUGCCCAUCACUUGGGGAUAACCUUGCGAAAGUAAGACUAAUACCCAAUGACGUCUCUAGAAGACAUCUGAAAGAGAUUAAAGAUUUAUCGGUGAUGGAUGGGGAUGCGUCUGAUUAGCUUGUUGGCGGGGUAACGGCCCACCAAGGCGACGAUCAGUAGGGGUUCUGAGAGGAAGGCCCCCCACAUUGGAACUGAGACACGGUCCAAAACUCCUACGGGAGGCAGCAGUGAGGAAUAUUGGUCAAUGGACGAGAGUCUGAACCAGCCAAGUAGCGUGAAGGAUGAAGGUCUUACGGAUUGUAAACUUCUUUUAUAAGGGAAUAAACCCUCCCACGUGUGGGAGCUUGUAUGUACCUUAUGAAUAAGCAUCGGCUAACUCCGUGCCAGCAGCCG